rnacentral:sRNA from 1 species
GACUCUAAGAACCUGAAGCAGAUUCUCCUCUAGAGGUGUCUCUAGCUGUCCAGAGCUCCAGAUUCCCCUCUUCCUGGUCUUUCUGGUGCUCUAUGUGCUGACCAUGGCAGGGAACCUGGGCAUCAUCACCCUCACCAGUGUUGACUCUCGACUUCAAACCCCCAUUUACUUUUUCCUGCAACAUCUGGCUCUCAUUAAUCUUGGUAACUCUACUGUCAUUGCCCCUAAAAUGCUGAUUAACUUUUUAGUAAAGAAGAAAACUACCUCAUUCUAUGAAUGUGCCACCCAGCUGGGAGGGUUCUUGUUCUUUAUUGUAUCUGAGGUAAUCAUGCUGGCUUUGAUGGCCUAUGACCGCUAUGUGGCUAUUUGUAACCCUCUGCUCUACAUGGUGGUGGUGUCUCGGCGGCUCUGCCUCCUGCUGGUCUCCCUCACAUACCUCUAUGGCUUUUCUACAGCUUUUGUGGUUUCAUCUUGUGUAUUCUCUGUGUCUUAUUGCUCUUCUAAUAUAAUCAAUCAUUUUUACUGUGAUAAUUUUCCUCUGUUAGCAUUAUCUUGCUCUGAUACUUACUUACCAGAAACAGUUGUCUUUAUAUCUGCAGCAACAAAUGUGGUUGGUUCCUUGAUUAUAGUUCUAGUAUCUUAUUUCAAAAUUAUUUUGUCUAUGUUAAAAAUACGUUCAUCAGAAGGAAGGAAAAAAGCCUUUUCUACCUGUGCUUCACAUAUGAUGGCAGUCACAAUUUUUUAUGGGACGUUGCUAUUCAUGUAUGUGCAGCCCCGAAGUAACCAUUCAUUGGAUACUGAUAAGAUGGCUUCUGUGUUUUACACGUUGGUAAUUCCUAUGCUGAAUCCCUUGAUCUACAGCCUGAGGAAUAAGGAUGUGAAGACUGCUCUACAGAGAUUCAUGACAAAUCUGUGCUAUUCCUUUAAAACAGUGUAAUUUUAAACAGUACAGGUAAAUGAGGAGAGAGUUAAUAUAAGCUGCCAUCAUGUGAGAGAAAAUGUAGGAAAAAGAAAGGGUAGGUAGCCGAGUUACAGGUUCGUAAGCAAUCAUAAGAAUUACAACAAGAUACAAUUUAGGGAGAUUUGAAUUAAAAAAUAAACUGAAACUCUUUGAGUUGUGAGGUUAAGUUAGAAAAAAAAAUGUUAUUUACCAAUUCUGCCUGGGAUUAAGCAGGUAGACAGUUUGAAAUAAAAAUGGUUUCCAGCAGUUAGAAAAAAAAAAUUAAAAAAAGUUAAAUAAGUUUGAAUGAG